AGGAGAUACACCAUUACUCUCUCAAUUGUCAUGGGGAGAGGGAAAUUUAAGGGCAAGCCCACUGGCCGCCGCCAGUUCUCCACUCCUGAGGAGAUGCAUUUGUUCUGGGUUUUUUUUUGGAGGCUGGCACCUGUUAUUCAAUUUCGGAUUGAUUGGCUGUCAUAGGACAUAGCAAAGUCUUAAAUUAAGACUAUAGUAUGUUUUAUGGCAUCAAUAAUUCAAUACUUCAAGAUGCCAAAUUUGUCAUAUUUCUUCCCUCAAGAGUCGAGACAUUGUGAGAUUUUUAAACAUUAAAGCAUUUUACAUUCUAUACAAAAACUUAAUUGUAUUCA